UAUAACUUAAAGAAACUUUUUCCUAAGUGUUUAAGAUUUCGUAAAAUUUGACAUUCACUCUUUUAUGAACUAAGUUAAUGCAAAAUGGAAACUAGCAGUCGUCUGCAGGUUUUAACUUGAAGACUUAAAACGCUUGUAGCUACCUAUUUCUUCACAAUUCAAGGCUAUCUUAGUUGACCAAUUAGCCUUAAGAAGUUCUGUUCCUUAACUUGGUCACAUGACUUAAAAUGGCCAAUAAGCGAUUAACGUUCGAAAUGCGCAUAACGUACGCGUAAUAAUAACAAUAUGGCUGGCAUUAGCACCAGUUUUAGGGAAGGUGAAAUAGAAUAAUAAUAAAUGGACACUAAAAUAUUGUUUUGAACAUGAAAUGAAUCAUUAAAGUUUGCUUAGAAAUGGCAUCUGGUAAAGCAGAUACAGAGGAAUGUUAUAUUUGUGGUUUUGUAUGCACCUCCAGGCGGAUGGUGGCGCAUAUAAAGAGUCAUACACACGUUGAGAUUUUUGAGUGUGAAAUAUGCGGAGAUCGUUUUGCUUCAAAAAAAACUUUGCAGAAGCAUUAUAUAACUCAUAAAACACAUUUCAUAUGUGAACAUUGUAACAAAAAAUUUGUAGAUCCCGUACGAUUGAGAUCGCAUAUAUGUUUUAAUCCAGAAGAAAACUAUACUUGUGAAACCUGUGGCAAAGAAUUUGUUCAUCAAAGUCGUUACAUGAAACAUGUUGCUACCCAUUCUGAAGAGAAAGUUUUUACUUGUAAAUAUUGCUCCAAGAGUUUUCAACAUAAACGAAAUCUUACGCGACAUAUGACAACUCAUUCUGAACACAUUGAAGAAGGGCAACAAAUAGACGAAAUUGAUCAAACCUACUCUUGUGACGUAUGCAACAAAGAAUGCUCUAACAAAAGUCAAUUGGAGAGACAUUACAUGUCACACUCUGACGAAAAGCCGUACAUAUGUUUAGUAUGCAACAGAGGUUUCAAAUAUAAAGGAGAUAUGAAGUCGCAUGAGAAACUUCAUUUUCAACAGAAAGGACCCCAUGAAUGUGCAAAGUGUGGGAAAUGCUUUAGUCGAAGAUCUAAUUUGAAAGUGCACUAUAAUAUGCAUUUACGGCGGGAGUUGGGUUUACCUACCUUAACUUUUCACAAUGGCAAGACAUUCACUUGUGACGUAUGUAAUAAGAAUUUCAUUUCUGAAAAGGUUCUUACUCAGCAUCAAGUUACUCACACAAAGGAAAAGCCUUAUGCUUGUCAAUACUGUGAGCAGAGGUUUUCUCACGAUUCUUGUUUAAAACGACAUUCUUAUCUUCAUACCGAAGGAGCAUAUAGAAAAAGACCCAAGUAUUCGAAAAAUAGCGAAGUUACAAGUGGUCCUGAUGACGAAGAUGAUUCUCGGUCAUAUGUCUGUCAUGUGUGCCAGGCUACCUUUGAAGAAGAAAUUGAAUUACGCGUACAUAGGAAAAGUUUUUGGCGACUUCAAAAUUAUAAGUGUUGCAAGUGUUUUCAAGUAUAUAGGUGUAAAAAGAAACUUAGAGAACACGAAAAAGUUCACGAUGUUAGCUCCACCUCAAGUCCACUUGUUUGUGCCCUAAGGGUCGAAGGUAGAAACACUGAAUCGGAAGGUGACACUAGAGAUGCUGAUGUGGAAUAUGAAGAAUCAAGUUCGAGUAUUUUUAUUGGCACUGUAUCUAUGGAUAGUACUGAAUCUGAAACUGAUACCAGAGAUGUUGAACUGGAAAGUGAAGAAUCCUGCUCAAGUCAGACUGAGCAUGCCCUGAGAAUCGAGACUGAAUCUGAAAGUGACAGCAGAGAUGUUGUGGUAGAAGAUGAAAAUUCAAGUUCUAGCACUCAGAAUUAUCAAAGUAUUUUAAUUAGUUAAUGUUUGGCCUAUGUGAUAGGAAAAUGUAUUUAUCAAGUUUGAUGUUUCUACUUUUGUUUAAUUUUUAUAUUUUCUUGAUAGUAUAGUUGAACAAUGAUUUUAUUUUAUUUUGAGAUAGUGUUAAGAAGAUUUCCAUAUCCGCAUUAGUAAUUACACCAAAAUAGUUAUUAAGUUUUGGUAACUUCCAGGCAGUGGCAUGUAUUGAACUGAUAAAUAAAAUCAGAUAAUAGGGAAAAUUCAAAAGUAAAACUCUUAUCUGCUGUCUGGCUAGCCACUAUAUAUUUUUCUCCUGUAUAUUCUACUAGGUUGAACAACUAGGCAAUAUAAGUUGGCUUAAACAGGAGUUAAAACUCGAGCACUUUUAUGUUCAAAACCAAUAACCUGUGAAUAAAGGAUGUGGAUGUGCUGUAUCGUUCGCUUGCUUGAUGCAUAACUUGUCAGAGUUUUAUCCUGAAUUCCUUAAGGUACUGUAUAUAUAAAUAUUGAGAAAAAUGAAGAGGUUGUUACUCUACUUGAAUCUUUGCCAGAUCAGUUUCAAAACAAGAUCUUGCAAAAAGUCAGUGUUUUUAACUCAAAGCAUGAAGAAUACUGCUUUUUCCCUUUUUCUAUCUUUGGCUGAUUAUUUAUUAAAAUUCCGAUAAGUUAUUUGUGUAUGUAUCUUUAAUUAUCACGAAGUGUAGUUGCCUGAUAUUUAAUACUUAUGCUUACAAUCGAAAUUAAAUAUGAACAGUUCAGAGGGUAAAAUAAUGAAAUAUUUUUGUUAAUAUUGCUUCAUUAUUCUUAUGUUAAAGAAUUAUUGUUUUGCUUGCAUUUUGUAUUAUUCUUAUAAAUAUUAUUUCAAAAUUAUUAAGUUGUUCAACAUUUUAUUGUUUUGCAUACUUAUUUUUAUGACUGUUUUGCAUGCAUUUUAAUGUUUUGAUAAAUAUUUUGUUUAAAUAUUAUUUUGCUGUCUUCCGAUUGAGUGACAACUAAUAAAAUCAGUGGAUUAUGUACUCUGCCGCUUUUAAAGAUUAAAUUUACAAUAUGCAUGCUAAAAGCAUCUUUUAAUGAAAUCAUCCAUAUUUUUUUAAUGAAAUCAUCCAUGCUAUUUUUAAAAAUAAAGAUAAUCCAAGUUUUUUUUAUUUUGCUUUCCUGGUUAUACCUUCCACAUUUCUUUUCAAAAUUUAUAGAGUAGUAAAUUUAUACCAUUCGUUAUCAAAAAGCACUUAAAUUGUACCAUCCAUGAUUAAGAAGAACUGAAAUUAAUUGGUGCAUAUUACAUAUCUUGAAAAAGAUUUAAAGAUAAGAUUUAAGAAAAAGAGGAAAUGAGGUUGAAAAAAUUUAAAUACAUAAAAUUAUAUAUUUAUUAAUAAAGGGGGAUUAAAUGCCCUGCUUAUUCAAUGAGGUAAACUGUAGGACCAAAUGAUAACAGUUCUGUUAAAUUGAUUUGCUCUGUUCUCAGUACAAAAAGACCAGCACAUAACUCAACAAAUCUUUUUAAAUUUUAUUACAAUGUAAAUUUUUAAUUUUCUAUUUCAACACUCAAAAUAUGAAUUUUUUUUAAAUAAUAUCAUAACAAAUUUAAAUGAUAAUAGGUAAAAUGAAUAAUAUGCAUUUAUUUUAAUUUUAGUAUAAAUAUAUGUUUGCAUAUUAAUGAAUGUUGAAACUUUCUAUAAUGAAAGGAAUUUUCUCUGCAGUAAUCACUGUUUUAGGGAUCUGAACAGUGUGAGGCAUUCACAACAAAUAACAAUAGUAAAGCAAAUUGAAGGACCAAAUGGUAUGGCAGUGCAAAAUGUAAGUCUCAUAAGGAUACAUAAUUAGAUUUAAAAUGCUGUUAGUGCAAUUAAAAAAUUCUUGAUUUUGAAAUAUUUGUAAUAAUAUUUUUUGACUUACUGUCUCUAUCAUGCUACCUAAGCAUCUAAAAUAUCGUACCCAAAUUUCUUACAUAUUUCCACCAUACAUUUUUUAAUAUGUACUAUUUCAAAAUAAAAAAUAUGAACUUAAA